UGGCUCAGUGGUUAAGAGCACUGGCUUCUUGUUCCAAAGACCUGGGUUUGAUUCCCAG
rnacentral:tRNA from 1 species